AAAUGCAUACAUUUGUAUGUAAACAUAAUAAAUUACAAAUAUAUUUUUAUAAAAUUUAAUUUUUAUAUAUUAUUUUUGUAAAAAUUUUAAUAUUUUUAAAUAUAUCCUUCUGAUUUAUUAUUAUUAAAAAAUUAUUUAUAUUUUAAUAGCAAGUAAGUGAAAUAUCAAUUUUACCAUCACAAAUAUAUUUCUUUAAAAACUACAACAGGAUAAUAUAAUAGGGGUAAAAACAUCGAGUUAUCUCAUAAACUAAUCAGAUUUAAAUAUUUAAUCUAUUAUUAGCUAAAUUUUUUAAACGGAUUCUAAAGAUAGGGAUAUAUUUUAAAAUAUUAGAACUUUUACAGAAACAAAUAUAAAAAUUAAACUUUGUAGGAAUAUAUUUGCAAUCAAGGAUCUAUAUGCAAUUAACUCUUUUUUUAUGUAGUGCAAUUAUUAUUAUCCGAGUUAGCACGUAAAAAAAUAAUAAUAAUUUUUUAUAGUAUAAGAUGUACAUAUUAUUUUUG
rnacentral:lncRNA from 1 species